rnacentral:rRNA from 1 species
GUAGGUGGCAAGCGUUGUCCGGAAUUAUUGGGCGUAAAGCGCGCGCAGGCGGUUCUUUAAGUCUGAUGUGAAAGCCCACGGCUCAACCGUGGAGGGUCAUUGGAAACUGGAGAACUUGAGUACAGAAGAGGAAAGCGGAAUUCCACGUGCAGCGGUGAAAUGCGUAGAGAUGUGGAGGAACACCAGUGGCGAAGGCGGCUUUCUGGUCUGUAACUGACGCUGAGGCGCGAAAGCGUGGGGGGGAGCAAACAGGAUUAGAUACCCUGGUAGUCCACGCCGUAAACGAUGAGUGCUAAGUGUUAGGGGGUUUCCGCCCCCCCCUUAGUGCUGCAGCUAACGCAUUAAGCACUCCGCCUGGGGAGUACGGCCGCAAGGCUG